GGAAGGGGCUGAGUUUGAGGAAUGAAAAUUGCCUUAAGAUUUCUUUUUUGUGUGUGUGGUUCUGGGGAUUGAGCCCAGGGGUACUUUGCCACUGAGCUGCAUCCGCAGCCCUUUUUUGUUUUCUUUUGAUACAGGAUCUCCCUAUGUUGCUGAGGCUAGCCUCAAAUCUAUGAUCCUCCUGCCUCACCUUCUCAAGUUGCUCUGAUUACAGGUACAUUAAUACCUGGCUUAGGUACAUUUUAAAGGUGUGUCAUUCCCCCCACCCCUCGCCCCUAUGAGAGCAGCAAACUUAUCAUCCUGGAGGCACAUAAGUUUUUAAUAUCAGGCCACAUUCUGUAUAAGCAUCUCUGUCUUGUGAUAGGUGUGAAUUGCUAUAACUGUUAAGAGAACACAUAGGUGGGAAAUGAGAGAGAACACAAAUCAUGGCAAGUAACAUGUUCAGGGGUCUGGGAAUUUGCCAUUCUCAUGGCAAAUUCAAAGUUUUUUCCUUUGUGUUGUUUGUCCUGGGAAUGUCAUGGUAAGAGCAUCGUGGUCUCAGAAGAUAAUAAGGUAGUUUAAGGGGUUAGGUAAGGCACACACCAAGUUUUUAAUUCCUAACAAGCUAUAAGUUAAGAUGGGAGAGCAGAGGAAAAA
rnacentral:lncRNA from 1 species